rnacentral:rRNA from 1 species
UGCAAGUCGAACGGACUUAAUCGAUUCUUUUAGAUUCGAAGCGGUUAGUGGCGGACUGGUGAGUAACACGUAAGCAACCUGCCUGUUAGAGGGGAAUAACAGUGAGAAAUCACUGCUAAAACCGCAUAUGCCGUGAACAUCGCAUGAUGAAAACGGGAAAAGAGCAAUCUGCUAAUAGAUGGGCUUGCGUCUGAUUAGCUAGUUGGUGUGGUAAAGGCAUACCAAGGCAACGAUCAGUAGCCGGACUGAGAGGUUGAACGGCCACAUUGGGACUGAGAUACGGCCCAGACUCCUACGGGAGGCAGCAGUCGGGAAUAUUGCGCAAUGGAGGAAACUCUGACGCAGUGACGCCGCGUAUGGGAAGAAGGUUUUCGGAUUGUAAACCAUUUUAGACAAGGAAGAAACAAGACAGUACUUGUAGAAUAAGCUCCGGCUAACUACGUGCCAGCAGCCGCGGUAAUACGUAGGGAGCAAGCGUUAUCCGGAUUUAUUGGGUGUAAAGGGUGCGUAGACGGGAAGGUAAGUUAGUUGUGAAAUCCCUCGGCUCAACUGAGGAACUGCGACUAAAACUGCUUUUCUUGAGUGCUGGAGAGGAAAGUGGAAUUCCUAGUGUAGCGGUGAAAUGCGUAGAUAUUAGGAGGAACACCAGUGGCGAAGGCGACUUUCUGGACAGUAACUGACGUUGAGGCACGAAAGUGUGGGGAGCAAACAGGAUUAGAUACCCUGGUAGUCCACACCGUAAACGAUGGAUACUAGGUGUAGGGGAUAUUAAGCCUUCUGUGCCGUCGCAAACGCAGUAAGUAUCCCACCUGGGGAGUACGGCC